GAUGAACGCUGGCGGCGUGCUUAACACAUGCAAGUCGAACGAGAGAUGGAGACGGAAACCUUCGGGCGGAAGGCUUCAUUUCGAGUGGCGGACGGGUGAGUAACGCGUGGGUAACCUGCCUCAUACAGGGGGAUAACAGUUGGAAACGACUGUUAAUACCGCAUAAGACCACAGCACCGCAUGGUGCGGGGGUAAAAACUCCGGUGGUAUGAGAUGGACCCGCGUUCGAUUAGCCAGUUGGCGGGGUAACGGCCCACCAAAGCGACGAUCGAUAGCCGAUCUGAGAGGAUGACCGGCCACAUUGGGACUGAGACACGGCCCAAACUCCUACGGGAGGCAGCAGUGGGGAAUAUUGCACAAUGGGGGAAACCCUGAUGCAGCGACGCCGCGUGAGUGAAGAAGUACUUCGGUAUGUAAAGCUCUAUCAGCAGGGAAGAAAANGA
rnacentral:rRNA from 1 species